UUUCCUACGGGGCGCAGCAGUGGGGAAUAUUGCGCAAUGGGGGAAACCCUGACGCAGCAACGCCGCGUGCGGGAUGAAGGCUUUCGGGUUGUAGACUCCUUUUGUUAGAGAAGAUAAUGACGGUAUCUAACGAAUAAGCACCGGCUAACUCCGUGCCAGCAGCCGCGGUAAUACGGAGGGUGCAAGCGUUACUCGGAAUCACUGGGCGUAAAGAGCGCGUAGGCGGGAUAGCAAGUCAGAUGUGAAAUCCUAUGGCUUAACCAUAGAACUGCAUUUGAAACUGUUAUUCUAGAGUAUGGGAGAGG
rnacentral:rRNA from 1 species